rnacentral:lncRNA from 1 species
AAUAUGCUACAGCCAACAUACACCUCAGGAUUUCGAAUGGCUAGGAGACCGAGUUAUGGUGUAGUCAAACUAUAAUACACUCAAGGUAAACUGUCGAUGCACCUCAGGUUAAAGAACUAGACACACAACUGCAGCAUCGAGCUAGUCAUCGAUGAGAAGGUAGACUUCCUUAUGACUGCUCAAGAUGGUCAUGCUCAGUACUCUC